ACAGUAGUUUAGAACAUUUAUAUUAUAGUGUUCUAUUCAGCAUUUUUACAGUAGUUUAGAUCAUUAUAUUAUAGUGUUCUAUUCAGCAUUUUACAGUAGUUUAUAUUCCAGAAUUUGAUAGUACCAUAAGAAUUUAUCAGCGGCCCAUUGUGUUAUAAUUCAUUAGAAUCUGUCGAUUGAGAAAUAAGGGCAUGAUUACAGUAUGUCCAUAACUCCGUAUUCCUUAAAGGGUUAAAUCUGGUCUGAAAAGGAAGCUUUUUGUCCUUAUAUCUUCCGUGGGAGAUCUAGGUUAGAUGUAAUUCAGUGGCUAGAUGUGCAGGGCAGUACUUGUUCCAGCUGUUGUUUCUACGGUGGCACGAGGUUACAGUGAUAUGGAAGUGGGUGUUGUGUGGCUGCUAUAGGCAUGGUCAAGGAAGGUCCACUGCGUUAGUCUGUGAAGGUGGUGGUCGUCAUGGUUUACUGUGUGCGUAAUGGGAAGGGACGGAUGGAGGGGUGAAGUGGUUUUAAAAUGUGAUGAGAAUUCCCGAAGGACUGAUGGACGGAACAAGAGACAAGCACCUGCUUUGUUGUUACUUGUGAGGAUUAAAUGUUAUAUUAUUAUUACGAUGAUAUCUUAAUGUAAAAAACGACUUUCCCUUCUUACAGUAAAGUGAUUUCUUUAUAGUUGUUGUCGUGUUUUACGUCAUGCUCUCUCAUUUUGCUUGUUGAGUUUCUGUCUUUUUGUUUGUAUUCGUUUAUUUAUGUUAAAAUAGGGAAGCAAAAUUCCACUUCGGGAAUCUUCCAUACAUGAUUUCUGGGAAACCGGGGAGUUAUUGGAAUGUUGUAAUCUUACGUUGAACCCAGAGGGACUAGUGCAAUGAUGAUUAUUGGGAUUCAGAAUUUAUAUGUUUCUGUAAAUUAUUUUCCUUUUUUUAAAUCUUUCAAACUUUUCGAUAUCCUCACUUUUUUUUUCUGACUGGAUAUGUUUUGGUCUGGUCUUGCGUCAUCGUGCCACAAACACAUUCUGGCUUCAGUUCUAAACAAGGGUUUCACCAACCCUGUCCCUUCAACGUUCCCACUGAACUAUACCUAGAAUUACUGUACUAGACUUUUUGAAAAAUGUCAUUUAUUGAUAGACAUUCUAGRGAUUACGUGUUUCUAUAUCUAUAUUUCAAACCUUUUUUGAUUGCAGUCAUUCAGUGUUUACUGAUAAAGACAUCUUCUUCACGACCACACCAGCGGUGCUUUGGUUGAAUCAGGGGCCAUUGGUAACUGUCCCUAAUAGUAGGUAGGGAGAGGAAGAGCUAGACCCAUUGAAUUAUCAUCAAAACCCAUUGUAAUUCUAUGGUUACAACUGACUGUCUUCUCCGGUCAUCAUUGCUCAAUGCUCAUUAUAUUCUGCAUGCUUUURGGUUGUGACCAGAACGUUCUAGAACGUAUGUACGCGUUCUAGAAUAUGCUCUUGGGCGUUUUAGAAUGCUGCGUAGUUCUUGGGGGCGUUCUAGAAUGCUGUCUGCAUUCGGAGCWUGAUAGUCUCCUAUUGGUCCCCUCYUGGUGCUGUGCAGUCCUGUUAAAAAGCAUGAGCUACUGUACAGUACAGCCACUUCCUCUGAUGUCCUAAAUCAACUUCCUCCUGUCUCUUUGGUAGACCUAUGGACCUCUGUGCCAUCUCUACGUCCACUUAUGGACCAGCUAUAGCUUCACUGUUUUUGUCAAUUUGAUUUKUUUUUCCUUUUUUAAUGAAACGUAGAGCUGAACUAUUUUUCAUUAGCUAGCCAACCUCUGUUUGUUCCUCAACUACGUUGGCAUGAAGUCCUAAAGUAGUUUUAAUUUGUUUUUUUUGUUCUCUGCCAAAGACUUUGGAAAAGGGAAGUGUGCAACYGUGUUGUUAGGCAUCAAUCAGUUUAACUUCAGCGGGAAGACAUAAAUACAGCGUUUAACAUCUGAUAACAAGUGGUACAGUCAAACAAAGUGGUAGAAACAGUGUUUUUACAAAAUGUUCAAAAGAAGAUAGUCACGGAACAAUUAUUAUUUUCAUCAAUUGAAGUGCGGCAGCAGGUGAUAUUCUGCAAUAACCAUCUGAAAGUAUUUUGAAUUCAAAGUAAAACGAUGGGAGUGAUAAAUUGGAUAUAUUUGACCAGGGACUGUGACUAAAUAGGGUGGUAACCUAGCCCAGCUGAAGUCAUGGCUGUUGUUUCUUAGUGUUUUAACAUUGGGGUUAAAGGAUGCUUCUAAACAAACAAACAUGCUGUAAAUAAAAACGCUUUUUUUAAAUUUUAUUUUAACUCUUGACUCCAACUGCUCUAUUCUGACUUCCGCAUUCCACCACGGAACCCUGCCGGUUCCCUUCCAUCUGUUCUGAUUCUGUUCUCUUCUUCCAAACAUCUUUCUGUACAAUCUUUUGGAAUAUUGUGACAUAGCUGUCUCUCUGUACUACUUGGGGGAAACAAACAUCCUUGUAUUAAUAUCUCUACAUUUGGAUAUCUUUGGAAUAACUUUCUUUGUUCCUUGGUUUUAGAAAACACUGAGAUGGUGAUUUAAAAAAAAAUGCAUAAAGAGAAUAAAACCAAGAAACUCUUGAACUCCUAACCUUG